AUUGAACGCUGGCGGCAGGCUUAACACAUGCAAGUCGAGCGGAGAUGAGGUGCUUGCACCUUAUCUUAGCGGCGGACGGGUGAGUAAUGCUUAGGAAUCUGCCUAUUAGUGGGGGACAACAUUCCGAAAGGAAUGCUAAUACCGCAUACGUCCUACGGGAGAAAGCAGUGGCUCUUCGGACCUUGCGCUAAUAGAUGAGCCUAAGUCGGAUUAGCUAGUUGGUGGGGUAAAGGCCUACCAAGGCGACGAUCUGUAGCGGGUCUGAGAGGAUGAUCCGCCACACUGGGACUGAGACACGGCCCAGACUCCUACGGGAGGCAGCAGUGGGGAAUAUUGGACAAUGGGGGGAACCCCGAUCCAGCCAUGCCGCGUGUAUGAAGAAGGCCUUAUGGUUGUAAAGCACUUUAAGCGAGGAGGAGGCUACUGAGACUAAUACUCUUGGAUAGUGGACGUUACUCGCAGAAUAAGCACCGGCUAACUCUGUGCCAGCAGCCGCGGUAAUAC
rnacentral:rRNA from 1 species